CAGAGAGGCGGUAUCUGCUUCGUCUGCCCACUGUGUCGGUUACUAGUAUUAAACCAAAUCGUUGUCCUAUAUUAUCUAUAGCUGCACGUUAUUUUGAAUAAUUAGAAUAAUUAAAAGUUUCCCUUGAAAAUGUCUGAAAAAGAUUAUGCUCCAUUAAGUGCUGCAUGCGUCAGGGCCCUUAGCGAUAAGCUCUAUGAGAAACGAAAAGCGGCUGCCUUAGAAAUCGAAAAGAUGACGAAAGAAUUUUCUACAGUGAAUAACACAAUUCAAAUAAAAAAGCUGUUGCGUGUUCUCAGCCAGGAGUUUGCUGUGUCCCAGAACCCUCACACAAGAAAAGGUGGUUUGAUUGGGCUUGCGGCAAUGGCAAUUGCACUUGGGAAGGAUACCAAUCUUUACAUGGAAGAGCUUGUACGUCCAAUCCUUGCCUGCUUUUUGGACACAGAUUCUAGAGUUAGAUAUUAUGCUUGUGAAUCUUUGUAUAAUGUUGCCAAAGUUGGAAGAGGGGCUUUGCUUCCACAGUUCAAUGAAGUAUUUGAUGUACUGGCUAAGCUAGUGGCAGACCCUGAUCAAAAUGUCAAAAGUGGGGCUGAACUUCUAGAUAGGCUUUUGAAGGACAUUGUGACAGAAUCAGCUUGCUUUGAUGUCACUGCCUUCAUGCCUUUAUUACGUGAACGAAUAUACACCAGAAACACGUUCACAAGACAAUUUUUAAUAUCCUGGCUGUCUGUCUUGCAUUCGGUGCCCCAUUUGGACCUUCUUACCUUUUUACCUGAUAUACUUGAUGGGUUAUUCACUAUCCUAGAAGAUCCAACUAUGGAAAUAAAGAAAAUGUGUGAAAGUUUACUUGGAGAAUUCUUAAGAAGCAUCAUCGAAAAUCCUAAACAUGUAGAUUUCCCGUCCAUGAUCAACAUUCUUAUUCAUCAUAGUCAAUCUUCAGAUGAACUUUCAAGAUACACAGCUGUUACUUGGAUAAGUGAAUUUGCCAUUUUGUCCGGACCGGCUAUUCUUCCUUACACUUCUGGUAUUUUAACAGCUAUUUUGCCUUGCAUGGCCUACGACGACGAUAGCAAAAAAGAUCUACGUGAAACAACUCGAAUUGUCAAUUCAAAUUUAAUGCGAUUGGUUGAUAGUGAUAGUGAGAAAAACAUGGAAUUAGGAUCUGUUGUACUGGUCUUGGAUCAACAUCUCACUCAUAAUAGUGUCCACACAAAAGUGGCAGUCCUUAAGUGGAUUGAACAUUUACUUGGUCAUCUGCCGAACUCGAUCCUGCCCCACACGGAAAAAUUGUUUCCUGUUUUAUUGAAUAAUUUGUCAGAUCCUGCUGACCAAGUUGUAAUCUUGACCGUUCAGGCAUUGGCGCAUAUUGCAAGUAAGAAGGCCUCAAUACUUUUUCCAUCCAUGCUUAAUAAUCGCCAUUUAAAUCUAGAUGCCAAAGCAAAUGAUGCCAUGGGUGAUACUUAUUUUCUAAAAUUCAUGAAAAGCUUGUUAGCGUUAUUCAGUAGUGACCGUGGCAUGCAAGAAGAAAGAUGGGCUUUCAUAAUAAGGCAGUUGUGCGUCCUGUUAAGCGCCGAAGAUAUUUAUCGUACAUUUGCCGAAAUAUUAAUCGAAGAAAAGAAUUGUCGAUUUGCUUCAGUGAUGGUGGAAACCUUAAGCACCCUGUUACUUACGUCUUCUGAGCUGUUCCCGUUAAGGCGAAAAUUGAAGGAUCUUAAUACUGACGAAAGUUGCAAUCUCUUUGUGAUGCUCUACAAAUGCUGGUGUCAUAAUCCGGUAGCUACGGUUGCGUUAUGCCUGUUGACACAAAACUAUCUACAAGCAUCGAACCUCAUUCGUCACUUCGGUAAUCUUGAAGUCACUGUUGAUUUCUUGACGGAGAUUGACCAAUUAGUUCAACUGAUCGAGUCACCAAUUUUCGCAUAUCUUCGCAUUGAGCUAUUGGAACCGGAUAAAAACGGCCCUAUCGUUCACACCUUAUAUGGUUUGCUGAUGCUUCUUCCGCAGAGCGAAGCGUUCCAUACGCUGAGGCGAAGAUUGGAAUGUGUUGCACAUUUACGUCCUUUAGCUGAUAACAGAAACAUCGUACAGGCAGAAGACAAAAGGCCUCAGAUCAAGGCUAUUGACUUCCAAAAGCUAACUGAGCAUUUCGUGCAAGUCCAGGAAAAACACUGCCAGUAUGAACUGGAAACGAGGAUAGCGGGCAUGUCUAACAAUAAAUUCCCUUGGGAAUUGAUACCCGUGUGAAGGUGUUGUCUUCAUCCAGUUAAAAAGCCAGACAUAAAACAAAAUAAUAAUAGUGUUUGAAUAAAUUGUUGUGUGGAGGUGAAGCUUCAAUUUGGGACGUGAUUUGCCAACUGUUGGUUGAACAAACAUCAACGGCCAAGGAUGUUGAAAACCGGACGCAUAUUGACAGCUGGAUCCCUAUUAUAGCACAGUACCGAAAUUGCUUGGCUUCAGGUUUCGUCGAUUCCUUUUGGCUUUACGAAGUAAUUCAAUAAGGUUUGAAAAUCAUUUCUUCCCCUUCCAACUCAUCCCCCCCCCUCCCCCUUUCUUCCCAUCAAUUAUCAAUGCAAAGACCAAGGAGCACACCCACUACGAAGUUCAACUUGACGAGAUCUAGACUCUAGAGGAAGGAAAGCAAAAAUUAAAACUAUGAUCCAAGCGAUCCAAAUCGUAUGACAACGAUUUAUAUAUUUUUCUAUUGCUCUUCUGUUGUAAUAUAGGCAUAUAAUUUUGAGCUUUGCUACAUUGUAGCCUCAGUUUUGGGUGGUUGACAUUGGACCACUAUUUUUUGAUAUUUAUUUGCCGAUUUUGACAAAAGUGGGAAGGCUAUACCCUUCCCACUUUUUCAUUUUUGGCCAAAUUUCAAAUUUUGCUUAAAAUACAUGAAUUCGAUUCAGAAUUGAAUGAAAA